UCGAGCUAAAAAGCACAAUUGUACACGUUACACACAUUGAAGUCAGAGAGAAUCUAAAGAAAACCUUUUACUUAACGUUACGUGUCACCUGAUGAGAGAGAGCGUUGGUCUGCCUCGAUGCCAGCUGUUGAUCAUAAAAGGAGUCGCCGAAUAUGCUGCCCACCACGGGGAUGUGCUGGAGGAACACAAACAACCCCCAAAAAUAUAUAUGAGAAAUACACCAUUGCAGUGGCUACAAUAAUAACACAAAUCUUUACAGAGAGAGAAAAUAUCUGAGUUCACAAGCAGACACUUUCAGCGAUGGAGUAACAAAAAACACAAGCAGCACACAAAGUCACAGCUGUCAGAGUGAGCAGCGAGCAAAGCAAAUGGACCUCGUGACCACGACUGUCAUGGUUAAACACAAAAAGAGGAGGCUAACAGAAGAUGCAAUAGCGCCACUCUUUAAUGAUUAGUUUAUUAUUAAAAUUGAUAGCACACUUUACAGUUUUAUUAUAAAUGACAAACAACCAGGGUGCUUCAGUUUGUCCCAUCCUCGUAGAUAGGACCACGACAGCCCAGAUCAAGACAAAAACUAAUUCAGAUGGGUUGUUGUCAUCAUAUUACCGUGGCAACACUCAACUCACCACCACUGUAGGGACUCCAGUGCAAAAAAGGUAUAAAAGCUGCAGACCGUCAGAGAUUAAACAACAAACAGCUGGAGUUGGUGAGCAUCGGCACGACUGAAGACAACUCAGAACGAUUAAACUGUUCAAGGACUUUUCCACAAUGAUUCUCAAGAUCUGUUUCAUUCUGCUUCUGCUUGUCGCCAUUUCACAGAUACCAGAAGUGAAUGCAGAAACCUCAACCACCACAACGCAAAAUACAACCACCUCAACCCAAAGUACAACCACCUCAACCCAAGCUUCAACUAUCACAAUGCAAAGUUCAGCCACCAGAGCAAACAGCACCGCAGUCAUUAACAAAAUCAGCCUGACUUCUGUCACAAUGGCCGUCGUAGCUGCUGUGCUUCCAUAACAUAGUUACAGUUGUAACUAUGUUGUUACAACUAGCUUUUUUAACCAUGCAUUUGUCUGUGUAUUUUUCAUAUCCUAUCAAAGUAGGGAAGUUUCAAUAAGGGGAGUGAUGAUAAAUAAAAGGGGAUCUAAACUGUCUUUUGAACACAUGUAAAUGAUCCAUUUUACUCUAUGCUUUCACAAGAUUGUGACUUUCUUUGUGGAAAAGGUCAACAAAUAAAAUGUUUACUGAUCAGAGGAAAUUGAUUCAAUCACACAUAUUAAGAUUUAUUGUGAUGGCCAUCUAUUGUGAAAAUAACUGUACCUAACCUGAUUUAUGGGAGAAUAUGUUAACUUCCUAACCAAUAAAUGACAAUAAUCACUUAA